GGGGUUACAGCCUUGCUGAAUUAUUCACCCUUGUCUUUUGCGUACUUCUUGUUUCCUUGGUGGGUUCGCCCACCACUAGGACAAACAUAAACCUUUUGUAAUUGCAAUCAGCGUCAGUAACAAAUUAAUAAUUACAACUUUCAACAACGGAUCUCUUGGUUCUGGCAUCGAUGAAGAACGCAGCGAAAUGCGAUAAGUAGUGUGAAUUGCAGAAUUCAGUGAAUCAUCGAAUCUUUGAACGCACAUUGCGCCCUUUGGUAUUCCAAAGGGCAUGCCUGUUCGAGCGUCAUUUGUACCCUCAAGCUUUGCUUGGUGUUGGGCGUCUUGUCUCUAGCUUUGCUGGAGACUCGCCUUAAAGUAAUUGGCAGCCGGCCUACUGGUUUCGGAGCGCAGCACAAGUCGCACUCUCUAUCAGCAAANGUCUAGCAUCCAUUAAGCCUUUUUUUCAACUUUUGACCUCGGAUCAGGUAGGGAUACCCGCUGAACUUAAGCAUAUCAAUAAGCGGAGGAA
rnacentral:rRNA from 1 species